rnacentral:lncRNA from 1 species
CGCUCGGGCGGAAUGAACGCGGGUGGAGCAAGGGUAGAGCUCGGCGCGGCACGGUGGGCUCGAGCGGAGGAAGACUCUGGCGUCGGGUCGGGUCGAGUGGCGCGGGUCCGCCUGGCCUGCGACCUGGGUCGCUGAUCGGAGGUCACAGCGGUCGGAUUGGCGUCGGAGCAGAGGGCUGUUCGGGUCAGUCAGGCUCGGAUCGGCAGCAGCUUCGCCGGACGGAACAGAGGGCCGAACGGCAACGGACAGGGUGGAUCAAUUUGGUUUGCAGCGUCAGGUCAUCGAUCGGAGGUUGCAGUGGUCAGAUCUAGCUGCAGGAGCGGAGCUCGGGCACUGGGCUCGCGGUGGUGAGGCGAUCAGCUCGAGCUUGGUCGCAGGUCUGUGCG